GUAACAAACCGUAAAUCCCACUAAACUUCCGGCUUCGAUUUUUUGCAAUCCGUAACUCUAAUAAAAAAUCUAAUCCGAUAAAAGUAUUCGUAUCCUCUUUCUCUACACGUUGGCACCACUUUUGAUCGGUAGAAGUUGACGGUGACGUAACUCCUCUACUCUUUGAGUUUGGCCAACAAAAGAUUUAGGAGGCACAGACGAUUCUGGACGUUUUCUUCUUCGAUAGUUCGGUCAGAAAGUUUCUCCAGAGCUUUGAAUAUUUUGAUUCCGUACGAAGAUGCAGGUCGAAAGGUAUCUCAUUAGGCGUCUGGACACCUGAAGCGAAGUGGUUACUGGGUUAUUUUGGUGUGUAGUGAUG